CUUACCCAUCUUUGUAAAAAAAUCAUUUCAGUUGUAGCUGGCUGAUGCACUCACAAGUGCAGGUGGUGUGCUACACAAGGGUUAAGUCUUUGGCUAACACCACAAGGGUCUCUGGCUCAGUGAGCGGAGUUUGACAGUAAUUUUUGCUACACCU
rnacentral:snoRNA from 1 species